GAAUGAGAUUUCUUCUGCAGAACCCAAGCCCAAGUACAAGUCUGUUCCCUAAAAUGUCGGAGCCUAUAUCUUCCUUCAUUAUGCUAAAAUCCUAACUGGUCGAGUCCUCAGAAUUGAAUAAAGAUGGCCCCAUUUUAUCCUGCAAUUCCAAGGCCUUCAUAACUCUUUUUUCUAUGUCCUAGAGCCUGGGAUCUUGCUCAGAUCCAUGCCUUGCUCAAUUCAUAAACAGAACUAUAUGAGCCCAUAUACCAAGUUCCAUAACCAGGAUACACAGGAAUAGGUGUGAAUAAAGAACUCAAAGACCUCCCUAAAUAUUCUUGAGGAAAAAAGAAACUUCAUUCCAAAGCCAUAAUAUAGAGAGGGAGAUAAAGGAGUAACUUCAUAGUGGAGAAAUCUGACAAACACUGACUCAGCCAGCAAUGAAGAAAGAAGAACCUAGACUUAAGUCACACUACACUUUCUAACAAGUAAAACAACCAUCACUAUCUUACUUCGGAAGCAGAAGAAAAACAGCAUGAAAGAUGUGGGUGUUGGAGCUGCUCUGCUCUCUGGUGGAUGUUGACAGCAUGGCUGCAAACAUACAGCAGCACCAAAAGAGACAGCUACACAGCAUGGAACAGAAAAUUUAACCACACAGCCAUCAUAGACAGAACUAAAGCACUGAUCUAUAUUUUCUUUAAAACUUGCUAGCAAGAAACGCCAUCAGUGGAAGAUGUAUUGAAAAGCUGAAGGUCUAUUAAGGGAGUAUGGGACAGCUGCAUACAUUCUGUAUAAGGCCAUGGAAAUGACACAGCAAUACCCCAUCUGUGGCUUUGGUUCACAGAGCUUUGAAUAAAAAUUCAAGAUCAAACUUCACUUGUUAAGGAAAAGAAGACUCCUAAUAGAAAGCUAGUAUUAAUAGUCUUAUAUAUAAAGGUCUGUUACUGUUAGCUUUCUUCUUAAAAUACAUUGUGGGAUGUCUAUGCCUUUAAUAAAUACUAAUACUACGUA